rnacentral:rRNA from 1 species
UACGGAGGGAGCUAGCGUUGUUCGGAAUUACUGGGCGUAAAGCGUGCGUAGGCGGUUAUUCAAGUCAGAGGUGAAAGCCCGGGGCUCAACCCCGGAACGGCCUUUGAAACUAGGUAACUAGAAUCUUGGAGAGGUUAGUGGAAUUCCGAGUGUAGAGGUGAAAUUCGUAGAUAUUCGGAAGAACACCCAGUGGCGAAGGCGACUAACUGGACAAGUAUUAACGCUGAGGUACGAAAGCGUGGGGAGCAAACAGG